GACGAACGCUGGCGGCGUGCCUAAUACAUGCAAGUCGAGCGAGACUCUUCGGAGUCUAGCGGCGGACGGGUGAGUAACACGUGGGCAACCUGCCUGUAAGACUGGGAUAACACCGGGAAACCGGUGCUAAUACCGGAUAAUCCUUUUCCUCUCAUGAGGAAAAGCUGAAAGUCGGUUUCGGCUGACACUUACGGAUGGGCCCGCGGCGCAUUAGCUGGGUGGUGGGGUAACGGCUCACCAAGGCGACGAUGCGUAGCCGACCUGGGAGGGUGGGAGGACAGACUGGGGCUGAGACACGGCCCAGACUCCUGCGGGAGGCAGCAGCAGGGAAUGUUCCACAAUGGACGAAAGUCUGAUGGAGCAACGCCGCGUGGGCGAUGAAGGCCUUAGGGUCGUAAAGCUCUGUUGUUAGGGAAGAACAAGUACCGGAGUAACUGCCGGUACCUUGACGGUACCUAACCAGAAAGCAACGGCUAACUACGUGCCAGCAGCCGCGGUAAAAC
rnacentral:rRNA from 1 species